rnacentral:rRNA from 1 species
CGGAGGGUGCAAGCGUUAUCCGGAUUCACUGGGUUUAAAGGGAGCGCAGGCGGACCUGUAAGUCAGUGGUGAAAUACCUGAGCUUAACUCGGGAACUGCCAUUGAUACUAUCGGUCUUGAAUGUUGUUGAGGUUUGCGGAAUGGGUCAUGUAGCGGUGAAAUGCAUAGAUAUGACCCGGAACACCUAUUGCGAAGGCAGCAGGCUAAACAAAUAUUGACGCUGAGGCUCGAAAGCGUGGGGAUCAAACAGGAUUAGAUACCCUGGUAGUCCACGCCCUAAACGAUGAUUACUCGACAUACGCGAUACACUGUGUGUGUCUGAGCGAAAGCAUUAAGUAAUCCACCUGGGAAGUACGGCCGCAAGGUUG